GGAUGGCAAAUGCCUCACCUAGGCACAGAGGCUGAGGCUGAAGGGAGAUGUUGUAGCUGGUUUGUAUGUGCUGUGCUGCCUGCAGCCCAGGACUGAGGAUAACAAACCUGAGUGCUUCCCAUUUGCACCACUGGAGAUGCUGGGUGCAGGAACAGGGAUCUUAGAGCCCUGACAAGCACAUCUCAGACACAUCAUGGAAUCACUGGGAAUAUUUCCAGGCAACCAUACAGAGCUCCUGAAGUCCUGUCUCCUCCUAACUAUUCACUUCCUGCUUCUCCUUGGUGUCAGCACUCAGAAGAGUUUGAGAAACCCCAUGAUCAGAUCCCGUGCUCAACAGCCAGACGUCACUACAAGAUGAGGAGAUUCCUACUGCCUGAAGUGAACUUUGAGCAAAAAACACUCUAGAUGCAGCUGACUGCCUUGUGGUUUCUAUCCCUUUCAAGCUCCACACUGCCCUUUGUUCUGCAUGAAACAUGCUUUUGGAAAGCCAAGGAAAACUUGGUUUAAUAAAUACCAAA